GCGCGGAACUGGGCAUCGCUCGUUAUGAAGUCUCAUGCACGGACGUUACCCAUGAUGUGACAAAGAGAGCUAGGGUGUGCAGACGGUCCAUAAGGGAGACCGUGGUGCAUGCUUGUUAACUAUAUUAAUAG